rnacentral:rRNA from 1 species
CCCGCUGAACUUAAGCAUAUCAAUAAGCGGAGGAAAAGAAACUAACAAGGAUUCCCCUAGUAACUGCGAGUGAAGCGGGAAAAGCUCAAAUUUAAAAUCUGGCGGUCUUUCGGCCGUCCGAGUUGUAAUCUGGAGAAGCGUUUAUCCGCGUUGGACCGUGUACAAGUCUUCUGGAAGGGAGCGUCAUAGAGGGUGAGAAUCCCGUCUUUGACACGGACUACCAAUGCUUUUGUGAUGCGCUCUCGAAGAGUCGAGUUGUUUGGGAAUGCAGCUCAAAAUGGGUGGUAAAUUCCAUCUAAAGCUAAAUAUUGGCGAGAGACCGAUAGCGAACAAGUACCGUGAGGGAAAGAUGAAAAGCACUUUGGAAAGAGAGUUAAACAGUACGUGAAAUUGUUGAAAGGGAAACGUUUGAAGUCAGUCGCGUCGGCCGAGACUCAGCCUUGCUUAUGCUUGGUUUACUUCCCGUUGGGUGGGUCAACGUCAGUUUUGGUCAGAGGAGAAAGGCUUGGGGAAGGUAGCAGCAUCUGCUGUGUUAUAGCCCCUUGUUGUAUACUUUGACUGGGACUGAGGACCGCAGUGCGCCUUUACGGCCGGGGCAAGCCCACGUACGCACUUAGGAUGUUGGCAUAAUGGCUUUAAGUGACCCGUCUUGAAACACGG